rnacentral:rRNA from 1 species
UUGUAAUGGGUGGUGGUGCAUUCCCAUUUGUAGGAGGAAGAGUUAUUUGUAAGUUUAAUUCCGAUAGCGAACGAGACCUUAUCCUUAUAAAUAGCCCAGCAGGCUAUGGUUAGGGGCUGGAGUAUUAGAGAGACUAGUAGAGUUUAGGUAAGGGAAGGGCGAGGCAAUAUCAGGUAUGUGAUGACAUGAUAUGUUCUGGACCGCACGCGCGCUACACGGAUCGGAUCCAAUGAGUAUUUUCCUUGUCCGGAAGGACUGGGUAAUCUUGAGAAAGUUCGUCGGGGGGGGGAUAGAGCAUUGCAAUUAUUGUUCUUCAGCGAGGAAUUCUUAGUAAGCGUGAGUCAUCAGCUCGCGUGGAUUACGUCCCUGCCCGUUUCGUCCACGCCGCCCGUCGCUACUGCCGAUAGAAUGGCUUAGUGAGCCUUUGUGAUCGGCAGCUUGGACCGUCGCCGAUCAGCAGGCCGCUGAAAACUUAAGCAAAC